CGGAGGAUCCAAGCGUUAUCCGGAAUCAUUGGGUUAAAGGGUCCGUAGGCGGGUUUAUAAGUCAGUGGUGAAAGCCCAUCGCUCAACGAUGGAACGGCCAUUGAUACUGUAGAUCUUGAAUUAUUAGGAAGUGACUAGAAUAUGUAGUGUAGCGGUGAAAUGCUUAGAGAUUACAUGGAAUACCAAUUGCGAAGGCAGGUUACUACUAAUGGAUUGACGCUGAUGGACGAAAGCGUGGGUAGCGAACAGGAUUAGAUACCCUGGUAGUCCACGCCGUAAACGAUGGAUACUAGCUGUUCGGAGCGAUCUGAGUGGCUAAGCGAAAGUGAUAAGUAUCCCACCUGGGGAGUACGUUCGCAAGAAUG
rnacentral:rRNA from 1 species